rnacentral:rRNA from 1 species
CCUACGGGAGGCAGCAGUGGGGAAUCUUGCGCAAUGGGCGAAAGCCUGACGCAGCAACGCCGCGUGCGGGAAGAAGGCUUUCGGGCUGUAAACCGCUUUCAGUAGGAACGAAAAUGACGGUACCUACAGAAGAAGGAGCGGCCAACUAUGUGCCAGCAGCCGCGGUGACACAUAGGCUCCAAGCGUUGUCCGGAUUUAUUGGGCGUAAAGAGCUCGUAGGCGGUUGAGUAAGUCGGGUGUGAAAACUUUGGGCUUAACCCCAAAGAUGCCACUCGAUACUGUUCGACUUGAGUUCGGUAGGGGAGCGGGGAAUUCCUUGUGUAGCGGUGAAAUGCGCAGAUAUAAGGAGGAACACCGGUGGCGAAGGCGCCGCUCUGGGCCGAUACUGGCGCUGAGGAGCGAAAGCGUGGGGAGCAAACAGGAUUAGAUACCCUGGUAGUCCACGCGGUAAACGGUGGUCACUAGUGUGGUUCGUAUCAUGAGAUCGCGCCGUCGCUACGCAUAAGUGACCGCCGUGGGUAGGUACGGUCGCGAGACGUAAACGUUAAAUAGAGUGACGGCGUGUAGACGUUGCCGAACGGACGACGACGAGGGGAGGUUAGG